CUCGGCAACGGAUAUCUCGGCUCUCGCAUCGAUGAAGAACGUAGCGAAGUGCGAUACUUGGUGUGAAUUGCAGAAUCCCGUGAACCAUCGAGUCUUUGAACGCAAGUUGCGCCCGAAGCCAUUAGGCUGAGGGCACGUCUGCCUGGGCGUCACGC
rnacentral:rRNA from 1 species